rnacentral:piRNA from 1 species
AUUGGGUGAAUAUGGAGGAAAGA